AUGAAACCGAUGAACAAGAGGAGUAGGUAAGAAUAUUUGUUUACAGAGAGCCAUAGGCGGUGGGAUUAUGGCAGCAAGAGUUUUUACUGAAUGGACUUGUGAGGGCAGCUUGAAACUUCCGGAUAUGAUCCGGGAAGAGUAGACGCUGACGGGGGAACCGAUCCGUUACCAGCAGGGAGUGUAUGUUAGUACAUGAAAGAGCGGCCGGUUUGUCCUGUUUUUCAGGAAGAGGCAGACUGGCAAUAUGGGUGGCACCGCAGGGUGAUGAUAUGACGAUCAGUCCUUGUCCCAUUG
rnacentral:ncRNA from 1 species